ACCACCGAAGACGCGGCAGUAUUUUGUACUGGGUAGGAGAGCGUCCCAUGAGGGGCGAAGCGGCCGUGUGAACGCGCCGUGGACUUCAUGGGAGUGAGAAUGCAGACAUGAGUAGCGAGAGACGGGUGAAGAUCCCGUCCGCUGGAUGACCAAGGGUUCCAGGGCCACGUUCAUCGUCCCUGGGUGAGUCGGGUCCUAAGGCGAGGCCGACAGGCGUAGUCGAAUGGAUGAACGGGUCGAUAUUCCCGUACCGGCUUUCAGCCGCCAAAACCGAGGCUUGGAGUACUAACCUCCGGGUCCGGGCUUACUGCUCCUUCGGGGGCGGGAUGCCCUGGCCUGUUGGGACCGAUCCUUGUAGUAGGUCAGCGCAGGAGUGACGCAGAAGGGUAGCCGGCCGCGGAGGUGGUCUUCCGUGGUCAAGCACGCAGGGCGUGGGACAGGCAAAUCCGUCCCGCAUGGGUCCGAGGUGCGAUGAUGGGGGCCUUAUGGCCCGAUAUCCGGUGAUCCCGGCUGCCGAGAAAAGCUUCGGCGUCAGGCUCGAAGCCGCCCGUACCCCAAACCGACACUGGUGGUCAGGUAGAGAAUACCAAAGCGAUCGAGCGAAUCCUGGUCAAGGAACUCGGCAAAUCACUCCCGUUCCUUCGGUUUAAGGGAGACCCCCGAUGGUGAACACACUUGCUGUGGGAGCUUUUGGGGGUGGCACAGACCAGGGGGUAGCGACUGUUUACCAAAAACACAGGUGCAUGCGAAGGCGCAAGCCGCUGUAUAUGCACUGACGCCUGCCCGGUGCCGGAAGGUUAAGAGGAUCCGUCAGCCUUCGGGUGAAGCGGUGAAUUCAAGCCCCGGUAAACGGCGGUGGUAACUAUAACCAUCCUAAGGUAGCGAAAUUCCUUGUCGGGUAAGUUCCGACCUGCACGAAUGGCGUAACGACUUCCCCACUGUCUCGACCAGGAGCUCGGCGAAAUUGCAGUACGAGUAAAGAUGCUCGUUAAGCGCAGAAGGACGCGAAGACCCCGGGACCUUUACUAUACCUUGGUAUUGGCAUUCGGUGUGGAUUGUGUAGCAUAGGCGGGAGGCCGAGAGGCGCGGUCGCCAGAUCGCGCGGAGCCGUAAGGUGAAAUACCGCUCUGUUCGCAUUGGAUGUCUAACCUCGAACAGUCAUCCUGUUCAGGGACAGUGCCUGGCGGGUAGUUUAACUGGGGCGGUUGCCUCCCAAAGAGUAACGGAGGCGCCCAAAGGUCCGCUCAGCCCGGUUGGCAAUCGGGUGGCGAGUGCAAGUGCACAAGCGGGCUUGACUGCGAGGACGACGGUCCGAGCAGGGACGAAAGUCGGGACUAGUGAUCCGGUGCCGGUGUACGGACGCGGCAUCGCUCAACGGAUAAAAGGUACCCCGGGGAUAACAGGCUGAUCAUUCCCAAGAGUCCAUAUCGACGGGAUGGUUUGGCACCUCGAUGUCGGCUCGUCGCAUCCUGGGGCUGGAGCAGGUCCCAAGGGUUCGGCUGUUCGCCGAUUAAAGCGGCACGCGAGCUGGGUUCAGAACGUCGUGAGACAGUUUGGUCUCUAUCCUCUGCGCUCGUUGGAAUGCUGAGGAGGCCUGCCCAUAGUACGAGAGGACCUGGGUGGACGAACCUCUGGUAUGCCGGUUGUCACGCCAGUGGCACGGCCGGUUGGCUACGUUCGGAAGGGAUAACCGCUGAAAGCAUCUAAGCGGGAAGCCUGCUCCAAGAUAAGCAUUCCGUGGAACCUUCGAGUUCCUGUAGUCCCCAUGCAGAACACGUGGUCGAUAGGCCGGACGUGGAAGCCCCGCGAGGGGUGGAGCCGACCGGUACUAACGGACGAAAGGCAACACUAA
rnacentral:rRNA from 1 species